CUGGGCUAUAUAAUGAGACCCUGUCCCUAAGUAAAUACAUUUAAAAAAUAGUCCUGGGAACUGAUCCCAGGGCAUUCCCACUGACGUACAUGCCCAGCCUACUUUACUUUGAAAGUUCAGACGAGCUCUGGCUAAAUCACUAAGUUGCCCAGGCUGGGCUCGAACUUGCAGGCCCCAGUUACAGGCAGGAGGGGAGGCAGGGAGGAGUGAGCGGGGAGCACACGCCUGGAAGCCUUCGGCGCAGAGGGGAAAUUCCCAGGAAAAUGGGAAGUCGGCAGGGGGAGUCCUCCCAGCUCAAGGCAAAAAUAUGUUCCAACCACAAAAACAUCUGGAGAGAAUUCUCUGGAGACCACGGGGAAAGCAGGGCGGGCUCGCUACGGCAGCGCACGCACUGCACCCGCAGGAAGAGGCUGACCAAGGCGCCCCUGCCCUGCCCCUGCCCUGGAGGGCUGCCCGCGGCCUGCAUGCGGCCAAAUAUGGGCAGAAAAAUGUGUGCUCAGGGAGAGGCCGGGAGAGGGCCCGCCGUUUCCACUGGCAGGGGGCCGGGGCGCCGCAGCCUGCGCAGAGCUGCAAGGGUGCGGGCUGGGGCACGCGGGGUGAAGGCAGAGGUGGCUCCAGACUGGGGGGGCCUGGGCUCACCCCGAACACCCCUAGGAGUCCUUCCUAACGGCCCCUGAGGCCGCCGCUGCGUGGGGAGCAGGCUACGCCCGUGGCUCUGCCGGCUGGGAGGCCGGAGCUGGGAGCAGGCUUGCACUUCGCGUUGCUCUGCACCCCACGAGUGCGCCCAGGACGCCAUGCGCAGGCCAAGCUCGGGUCCCAGGGCAAAGGUCGGCCGAGGUGGGUCUGCUGACCCCGGCUCCUGACCUCGGGCUGGCGUCCCAGCCACGCUGAUUUUUGCGGGGAGCGAAGGGGCAGAGGCUUUGCUCUCGGGUGGCUGGGUCACCCCUCCUCUCGGUGCCCUCCACUUCCUCCUGCACCCAGGCCUCGCGGAGGAGGGGUGCGUGCGACCUGGGACCCAGCCUGGCGCCACCUCUCCUGCCUGCCACGUGAGCUGGAGACGAGGGUGCAGCACCAGGGAUGCCCGGGCCCUCGCAGUGCCAGCCAGGUGUUCCGUAGCUCAGGAGCACCCCGCCAGCACCUUGGGUCUGUCCAGGGGCAGCCGACCUGCUCACCCUCUGCAAACACGUCACCUCCCUGCGCUCCCGCAUCCCCUCCUGUAGCAGCGGGGAGUGAGCCAGCGUGCCAAGCUGCGCCCCAACCCCUCUGACGGGACGUGGAGGCAGAGCCUCACGAAGCUGCCAGGCUGGUACUUGUGAUCCUCCCAUCUCAGCCGGCCUAGCGGAGCGCUGGCACUGCAGAUCGGGGGCCACCACGCCCGCCACCUGGCUUCUCCUGACUUUUCAGGAAUCUCAGAAUGGGAUUUUUCUGUUAUCAAACAGGUGUUUUCUUCUUGUUCUGGACAGAGACCCUGGAGUCGGAACUCAACUCUCAGCUGAGUCAGGAAACCCCAGGACAGGAGAGGGGUGCAGGGACCCUGUGUCACCAGCAGGGGGCGCAGGACGCCACCGCAGCGCUCAGUGCCAGCCAGGCGGGUCCGAGCGUUGUCCUCCACCCCAGGCCUCCCACCAGAGGGAUGCGCGGGUCAAGGUGGCCGUGUGAGCUGUGGCUCCUUGCCCACUGCCCAGGGCCCAGUGGCAUCAUGAGCCUUGUGGGGCCGGAGAAAAGGGCUGCCCUGGUGACAGAGGCGACCUUCCCGCGUCACAGCCGCUGUGGGGCCGCUCCCACCCGGCCUGGGGCUGGAGCCGGGCCCGCGGCAGGAAAGGGUGAGUCACAGGGCAGGCCCGGAGGAAGCAGCCGGGCGGCCGAUAAGCGGGGAGGACCCUGCUCAGCCUGGCCGGGUAAACACGCAGCCCUGCGCCCACCGCAAGCCUGGCUUCCCCGCCUGCACAGCCAGGUGGCGUCCCGGGAGCGUGCUCCGGUGACAGGGCCACAGGCAAGAGCAGCAGCAAGGCUUCAGAGUUCCAGACUCGGGGGCUGGAGACCCCAGAAAAGAGGGCAACUCCAGUGUAAAGUGGUGUGCUUAUGACGUCAGCACAUAGGGAGACUGAGGCGGAAAGAGUGCGAGUUCGAGUCCUGCCGCGUAACAAGGUGGCUGUCCUCAGGGGCCUGGCCAGCCCACAGCUGGACUGAACACCUUGGGAAGAGGAAAAACAACAUCUGCCAGGGAGGGACAGGUGCCACGGCUGGCCUGUGGGGAGCCCUGGACAGGGCCCAUCUUUGUUAAGAAGCCUGCUCCACUGGAGAUGACUGGGAGGCUGGCACAGCUCCCCGGGCCUGACAAGGUGAGCACUACGGCGCCGUGAGCCCAGGGCACGGACAGAGCCGGGAGGCUCUCUUCUGCACCUCCCACCCCGGGACAGGGCUGCAGGGACGACCCUGGGCAGGAUGGUCAGCUGCACCUCUGGUGGUGGCCAGGGGCACAGGACGCCCUGGCGCCAGGGAGGCCCUCUCCAGCCUCAGCGGGACCCAGUGGACGGCAGAGACACCGUGCCGCUGCGCCCAGGCCUGGGACAGCGGGGGGCAGGUGUGUGGGGCAGCAGUGCUGGAGGAAGGUGCGAACAGUGCCGUGGGGCCUUUCAGACCCGGUUCGAAGCACGGGGCACUAAGCAGAGCCCUGCUGAGCGCAGAGGCCACGCCCCGGACGAGGCCCUGUCCAGCCAGCUCUCCUUCCUCCCAGAGUGCCUGGCAGGCAAGCCACGUCCUGCACACUGCCCGCCUCGUGCUGACUGGGCCUGUGGCAGACCUGCCAGAGCGUCAGGCGGAAGAGGCCGGCAGGGCGUGGGCGCGGCCCCGCGCUGCCCAGGAGGGGAGGUGGAGGCCAAGCCCCAGGCGUGAGGGCACAGGCAGACAGGACGUGCGUCCUUCCGAGCCCCUCAGAGGGUUAGAUCAGCAAACCCACGACACAGAGACAGAGGUGACGACAGAGCAGGGGUGGAGAUGAGCGGUGGACACAGGCUCACAGAUGGGAGAUGGCAGGGGCCCGAGCGCGGGGCGUGCGCAGCCCCCGGGUGCGGUGGGGCCGG